rnacentral:rRNA from 1 species
AGAGGGUGCAAGCGUUAAUCGGAAUGACUGGGCGUAAAGGGCGCGUAGGCGGAUAAUUGAGUUAGAUGUGAAAUACCAGGGCUCAACCUUGGGAAGUCAUUUAAUACUGGUUAUCUAGAGUAGAGUAGAGGGGAGUGGAAUUUCCGGUGUAGCGGUGAAAUGCGUAGAUAUCGGAAAGAACACCAGUGGCGAAGGCGACUCUCUGGGCUCAUACUGACGCUGAGGCGCGAAAGCGUGGGUAGCGAACAGGAUUAGAUACCCUGGUAGUCCACGCUGUAAACGAUGAAGACUAGAUGUUGGUAGGUAAAACCUAUCGGUAUCGCAGCUAACGCGAUAAGUCUUCCGCCUGGGAGUACGGCCGCAAGGUUA